AUCCAUCUAAGCCUGGGAUAGAGGAGGAUUUCAGAAGCUUGUACAUAAAUAGAAGUGGCAAACUUAAUUCAUAAUCUGACUCCCAAAUUUGCAAUUAUUAACCUCUAGGUUUUCAGACACUCAAGACAAAACAAAAAAAUGCACAUUUAAAACAACAUACAACUAUAAGUUCAUCUACAGUGAACAUGUGAUAACUUCAGUUCUCUACAGACAGAAUCCUAGGAAACUUCAAUUCUCAGGGAUAAACACAGAAGGCAAAAUCUUGGAAGAGAUAAAUAGAAGGACUAACCAGAAAGUUGUGAAGGAAACCAAGAGAGAGUUGCAUUGAAAACCCAAGGGAGUAGAAAAUAUCAACAGAAGCUGAGUGCCAAGAAGUACAAUAAAUUAAAGGCAAAAUUUGAAUGGCAAGAGGUUAUGGCAGAAUAAAGAGACUUAAGAGAGAAUGGAGGGAAAAUUGAUAAAGCAAAAGGAAUCAAGCUGAAAAUUCACAAAGAUAGAAGAAGAAUGAAGUUCAAAAUACAAAUGCCUGGGUUGGCUUUGGACAAAAGAAGCACUACUUCAUUUGAAGUUGGGCAGCAACAGGAAUAGAAUAUUCCAGACAGGAGCUGUUCCUUUAACCUGGAUCACAGAAUGGAAUUUCAAGUGAAGCAGACCUUUAGUCAACCCAUAGACCUACAGCGGAGCCACAGACAAAUCUCAGGCUUCAUACAUGAGAAAUAAAUUGAUGUUUAUUUGUGUAAACC
rnacentral:lncRNA from 1 species